rnacentral:tRNA from 1 species
UAAGACUUAUGAUUACUAAACCACAUCUUCUGAAUGCAACUCAAACACUUUCAUUAAGCUAAAGCCUCUU